rnacentral:rRNA from 13 species
CAGCAGCCGCGGUAAUACGGAGGGGGCUAGCGUUGUUCGGAAUUACUGGGCGUAAAGCGCUCGUAGGCGGAUUGGUCAGUCAGAGGUGAAAGCCCAGGGCUCAACCUUGGAAUUGCCUUUGAUACUGCCAGUCUUGAGUUCAGGAGAGGUAAGCGGAAUUCCGAGUGUAGAGGUGAAAUUCGUAGAUAUUCGGAGGAACACCAGAGGCGAAGGCGGCUUACUGGACUGAUACUGACGCUGAGGAGCGAAAGCG